rnacentral:hammerhead_ribozyme from 1 species
AUCUAGCUGACGAGUCCCAAAUAGGAUAAAAUGACGCGCAUCCUGGAU